GUGAAUUAUCUGUAGGCGAUUAAGUGAAAUAUCUAAUGUAAGUUCUUCUAUUACAUUUAUCAAGGAUAUGAAGUCUCUAAGUACCUUAGUACUUAGGAACAACAAUAUCACUGGUACAAUUCCAUUGAAUAACGGAGAGCUCCAACAGUUACAAAAACUAGAUUUGAGCUUUAACAAGUUAAAUGGACAGAUUCCAAACUCUCUUUUCAACAUUUGCUCACUCUCUUAUCUGUAAUACAUCUUUAGUUUUCUCUCUUGGGUUAAC